UACUAAACCCUGGGCAAUCAUCUCUGCUAGGAACAGCUGUUCGUGGUGACUGCUGUGAAACCAACAGGAUGGCCUCUUUUCUAUUUAGUCCUAAGAGUGGGCAUAAAGUAAAAUAUUGUUAGGUACCUCCUUUGGAGUUCUAGACUCAGGAUGAGAUUACAGAAGAUAUGCUCAACAUCCUCCUUUGACCUGGUCCCAGUUUCACUAUAUUUGAUAGAUGCUUUACAGUCUCUGGUAAGGAGGUGUGCAAUUCUCUGAUUUUAUUAUAGUUUUUAGGGAAUUUUAUUUUGUACAUUUCAACCAAAAAAAUUACAUAAAUAACAGCUCCACUGAAAGCUGUAUUUUAAAUGAACAAAUAUUGGUACUUUGUGAACACAUGUGGUGCUUUUUUUUUUCUCUAAUUAUUGGCUAUCAAUCUUAUUUUACUAAAUAUAUACUGACAAAUUUAUUUUGGUCCAUUUAUUUGAGUUCAAAGACUAUUUCAUACUCUUCCCAGUGAAACAGUCAUGGGCCAUUGCUAUCUUCAAAAGAACUAAAUAUAUAAGUAGCAGCUCUCCUCAAAAAAGAUGACAAAGUCUUCUUUUCCCUUUAGAACAUAAAUUUCAGUGGCUGGUAAAACUAUUUUAGCAACAAUAUGCUCACUUCUUCUAUGAUAUGUUUUUCUUCUCUACUAAGUUCAAAGUUUCUCUCAGUAACCAUAGCAACUCAAAAUUGUUUCUCUACCUUACUGAAGUUGCCCUCUUCCACUGAUCAUUAGGACAUUAACUUUUAGAAUCAUUUGUUUUUGCCUCUUGUUUUGAAGGCAGCUUUUUAAUUUCCUCAAAUAAUUGCAAUGGAACAAAAAAUUGUUCUCUUUUUUACAUAUGUGCACUUUUAUAAGAGAUGUAAUGUUUGUAAAUAAAAGUUUUAAUUUAUCAAAAGCAUGUCUCUAAAAAUGUGAGGGUUAUAAAGAUUAAUAAUAGUAGAAAUAUCUGUGUACCAGCCACUCAGAAUAAUUCUAGUUAGAUAUAGUUAUUGUAAGGACAAAAAA